GACGAACGCUGGCGGCGUGCUUAACACAUGCAAGUCGAACGGUGAAGCGCCUUCCUUUUUGGUGGGUGUGGAUGAGUGGCGAACGGGUGAGUAACACGUGAGUAACCUGCCCCCUUCUUCUGGAUAACCGCAUGAAAGUGUGGCUAAUACGGGAUAUUCUGGGUCUGUCGCAUGAUGGGUCUGGGAAAGAUAUUGUUUCGGUGGGGGAUGGGCUCGCGGCCUAUCAGCUUGUUGGUGGGGUGAUGGCCUACCAAGGCGGUGACGGGUAGCCGGCCUGAGAGGAUGGACGGUCACACUGGGACUGAGACACGGCCCAGACUCCUACGGGAGGCAGCAGUGGGGAAUAUUGCACAAUGGGCGCAAGCCUGAUGCAGCGACGCCGCGUGAGGGAUGGAGGCCUUCGGGUUGUGAACCUCUUUCGCCAGUGAAGCAGGCCUGCCUCGUUUGUGGGUGGGUUGACGGUAGCUGGAUAAGAAGCGCCAGCUAACUACGUG
rnacentral:rRNA from 1 species